CCUACGGGGGGCAGCAGUGGGGAAUAUUGGACAAUGGGGGGAACCCUGAUCCAGCCAUGCCGCGUGUGUGAAGAAGGCCCUCGGGUUGUAAAGCACUUUCAGUGAGGAAGAACGCCUGGUGGUUAAUACCCAUCAGGAAAGACAUCACUCACAGAAGAAGCACCGGCUAACUCCGUGCCAGCAGCCGCGGUAAUACGGAGGGUGCGAGCGUUAAUCGGAAUUACUGGGCGUAAAGCGCGCGUAGGUGGCUUGAUAAGCCGGUUGUGAAAGCCCCGGGCUCAACCUGGGAACGGCAUCCGGAACUGUCAAGCUAGAGUGCAGGAGAGGAAGGUAGAAUUCCCGGUGUAGCGGUGAAAUGCGUAGAGAUCGGGAGGAAUACCAGUGGCGAAGGCGGCCUUCUGGGCUGACACUGACACUGAGGUGCGAAAGCGUGGGUAGCAAACAGGAUUAGAUACCCUAGUAGUC
rnacentral:rRNA from 1 species